rnacentral:rRNA from 1 species
CGAACGGGUGAGUAACGCGUGAGGAACCUGCCUCAAAGAGGGGGGAAACAGUUGGAAACGACUGCUAAUACCGCAUAAGCCCACGGCUCGGCAUCGAGCAGAGGGAAAAGGAGCGAUCCGCUUUGAGAUGGCCUCGCGUCCGAUUAGCUAGUUGGUGAGGUAACGGCCCACCAAGGCGACGAUCGGUAGCCGGACUGAGAGGUUGAACGGCCACAUUGGGACUGAGACACGGCCCAG